rfam:Blastocystis hominis, Singapore isolate B (sub-type 7) whole genome shotgun sequence assembly, scaffold_20
GCCCACAUAGCUCAGUCGGUAGAGCGUUAGGCUUUUAACUUAACGGUCUGGGGUUCGAGCCCCCAUGUGGGCG